GACGAACCGUCCAAACGUUAUUCGGAAUUAUUGGGCUUAAAGGGUGCGUAGGCUGUGCAGUAAGUUGGGUGUGAAAUCCCUCGCUCAACCGAGGAACUGCGCCGAAUACUGCUGUGCUAGAGGAAGAUAGGGGGUAAGCGGAACUGAUGGUGGAGCGGUGAAAUGCGUUGAUAUCAUCAGGAACACCGGUGGCGAAGGCGGCUUACUGGAUCUUUUCUGACGCUGAUGCACGAAAGCUAGGGGAGCGAACGGG
rnacentral:rRNA from 1 species